GGCCCCGUAGCGCAGAGGCAGGCGCACCGCUCAGAACGACACAAGCGACGCGGGGAACGCCGGUUCGAAUCCGGCCGGGGCCA
rnacentral:tRNA from 1 species